rnacentral:rRNA from 1 species
ACGGAGGGUGCAAGCGUUAAUCGGAAUUACUGGGCGUAAAGCGCACGCAGGUGGUUUGUUAAGUCAGUUGUGAAAUCCCCGGGCUAAACCCCGGAAUUGCCUCUGAUAAUGGCAAGCCUGAGUCUCGUAGAGGGGGGUGGUAUUUCAGGGGUAGCGGUGAAAUGCGUAGAUGUCCGGAGGAGUACCGGUGGCGAAGGCAGCCCCCUGGACCAAUACUGACGCUCAGGUACGAAAGCGUGGGGAGCAAACAG